CACAGUUAUAUAGUUGUGUUUACACUAGUUCUUGGUUUUUCCACUUUUUUGCUCAGAAGAAAUGCGCAAAUGCAAAAUGCAUCAAUUGUUCGUGAUCGUUUGGUAAGUGCGCAUGUAGUAUCGAGCCGUGCGGGAGAUAUCUUAAAGUGUUUUUCGUUAAAGAAAAUAUAUUUAAAUAUAUUAAAUUACAACGGAGCUUAUCCCAUUUUUGCGAAACAAUUCAAAGUAUUGUGGAGCAGAAAUUUUUUUCUAUCCUGAUAAUAAUUCAGGUUACCUUCAGAGUCAACUUAAAAAUCGUAACUUCAAAAGAAAGAAGUAUGAAAUAGAAGAUUCAGAAGAACUGUGUGUUAGAAGGAGCACCACACAGCAUAGAAAGAAGUUAUUAGAGCAAAAAGUCAAUAUAAGAAAUAUAUUUCCAUUCUACUUUUUCGAUCCCGAACUGAUUUUACUUGAUUUCUGUAUUCAGUUUCCACAAAUCACCACUCAGCGUACAAAAGCUUGGCAAGAAGUAGAAAAAAUAGUGCUAACAGUCUUCGCAUCAAAAGGGAUAUAAGAUUGCUUUCUUGAAGGUAUCUGG